UGGACAGCAUUUCAUGGCUUAGCACAACUUGUUAGCCCCGGUGAACUAUUAUUAUUUCUGUACUCAAAUUAAUUGGUACUAUUCCUAAAAUAACAACUUUUUUCCUUUUUUGGAGAGGGAAAGGUAUUGGAUUUAGAGAUGACCCUCUCAUAUGUUAGUGAGAGAUAGGGCUUAAUGCAAUUCCAAUGACAUUUCCAAUAAACUAUUUUCAUUUUUUAUGGUUAUGGCUUUGAUAUCAAUAAUUAAUAAUUAAUGUUUUGGCAGGAAAACGGGAAAUUACUCUGGAAGCACUCUGUUGAAGAUCCCAUCACUGCAUCUGCAUACAUUGAUGAGAGCUUGCUGUUGUCAUGUGAUGACCACACUCUGCCCCGGAGGUUCAUUUGUGUAUGCACCAGUUCUGGAGGUAUUCGUGUGCUUCAAGUCAACUUAGAUCACAAUGAAGCAGCAAAACAGUCGGGGGAAGAUGUGAUACAGGAAUUCGCCAAGUUGGAUCUUGAAGGAGACAUCUUUUCCUCCCCUGUGAUGAUUGGUGGAACUAUAUUUGUUGGCUGUCGGGAUGACUAUGUGCACUGUUUAAAGCUUGAGAGACAAAUUCCAACUUAAAGUUGAACUCUACUGCUUUGGUAUCUUCAGAUUCUUAUGCCCAUUAUGUGAGUCUGGCCAAGAAUAUCCCAUUUGUGAAAAUCAGAGCAUUGAGUGCAUGUCAUAUGCACAUGGUAAUACCACCAAGUCUUUUUAAAUUAUCAGAGCCUUCAACUCUUUGAUAGAAUCCAGAUUACUUGGAAACAACACUGAGCCAGAGUGCCAAAUCUUUUCAGAAUACCCAAGCAUUCACCUGUGGUUAUAAUCCAGAUUCCUUGGAAAUGGUGAGCAAUCUGCUCAUAAACUGUUGUGAUGGAAUGAGAAUUCAGCCAUGUUCUAAUGGAGUACUCCUUGAAAGUAUGCCAGAGAGAUCUGUCAGAUUCCCUCUGUCAAAAGUCCUUUCAGGGUAUAUUCUCAGUACUUCAUAGAUCCCUUCAAAAGGUCAUGGAAGACAUCUGUAAAAGAUGAUAUAUUUUGGAAAUGAUCUGACAUGCAAAGUGGAAAAACAAUAGCGCUAUGUGGCACAAGAUCUGAAAAAUCAACCAAUGCGGGCAUCUUCCUCUAACACCUAUAAUUCAUUAUUGCAUUCAGAUUUGUUGUACUGCCAAUAUUUUCCUGUGAGGUUGUUAGCGACGGAUUGCAAAGGUUUCUUUUUUCUGGGAUGCUACAUACUACUGUAUUCUAUAUGCUCAUAUUUAAAGUUGAGGCACUGUUUUAGAUGUGAAUCUGUGUAUCAAUUAGAGAAGGCAUUUGUGCUGAUAUUGAUUUGUCAACAAUACCUAUGCUUGUACAUAGUUGAUACAAAUGUUUGCUUUCUAUUAAACAAUAUGUUGAGUUUGAACCCUUGCACCAAUCCAAGGAAAAACACUUCCUUUUCAUUUUUGUCCUUUAGCGCUGCAUAACUUCUACUUGAUUAUAUUUUGCUGGUGGUUACAUGCCCAACUUGUUAAUAUUCCUCCAACAAUUUUCUCAGCUAACUAUUCUCUUUUCAAGUUGUAGAAACUAUCUUUGAUUGGCCUUUGUUCUCUUAAGGGCUUGUGGCUUACACUCGUGAAGAUUGAAAACCUCAUCAGUUGACUUUUUUCUCUUGUGAAGUGCAAAGAUAAUGUUCAAUUUGGAGUCAGCAUCAACAUGAUAUAGAAAGGUCCAACAAGGUAU